GAAGGCAGCAGGCACGCAAAUUACCCAAUCCCAGCUCUGGGAGGUAGUGACGAAAAAUAACAAUGCGGGACUCUUCCGAGUCUGCGUAAUUGGAAUGAGCACACUUUAAAUCCUUUAGCAACAACCAAUUGGAGGGCAAGUCUGGUGCCAGCAGCCGCGGUAAUUCCAGCUCCAAUAGCGUAUAUUAAAGUUGUUGCGGUUAAAAAGCUCGUAGUUCGAGUUCAGUUUCGGACUGGGGUGGGAGGUCACCGCCCGGUGCUUGCCCCCUAGGCUCCGAACAGCUUCCUAUAGUGGAAGCCAAGUCGGUUCUGGCGGGGUGCUCUUUACCGAGUGUCCCGUGCGGCCGGCCAGUUCACCUUGAAUAAAUGAGAGUGCUCAAAGCAGGCUACUCUGGAAUACAAUGCCCGAAUUUUGGUUGCAUGGAAUGAUGGAAGAUGAUCUCGGUUCCAUUUUGUUGGUGGUGGGAGCCAGAGGUAAUGAUAAAGAGGGACUGUCGGGGGCAUCCGUACUACGACGCGAGAGGUGAAAUUCAGUGACCGUCGUAGGACGAACAACAGCGAAAGCAUUUGCCAAGAAUGUCUUCGUUGAUCAAGAACGAAAGUUAGAGGAUCGAAGGCGAUCAGAUACCGCCCUAGUUCUAACCCUAAACGAUGCUGACUAGCAAUUCGCCGUCGUUAUUCCCAUGACGUGGCGAGACGCCCCCGGGAAACCUCAAGUUUUUGAGUUCCGGGGGUAGUAUGGUUGCAAAAGUGAAACUUAAAGGAAUUGACGGAAGGGCACCACCAGGAGUGGAGCCUGCGGCUUAAUUUGACUCAACACGGGAAAGCUCACCAGGCCCGGACACCAGAAGGAUUGACAGAUUAAGAGCUCUUUCUCGAUUUGGUGGGUGGUGGUGCAUGGCCGUUCUUAGUUGGUGGAG
rnacentral:rRNA from 1 species